UCAAUAAGAGAAAUAAUAGACAUCUGCUCUCACUUCAGGGAGUCAGUUACCUGCAGCAACUAAGGUUAAUGUGUGUGAGUAUUACAUUCCAAUAAAUGUUAUAGAU